rnacentral:rRNA from 1 species
AUUGAACGCUGGCGGCAGGCCUAACACAUGCAAGUCGAGCGAGUGGCGGACGGGUGGGUACUGUCUGGGCAACUGCCUGAUGGAGGGGGAUAACUACUGGAAACGGUAGAUAAUACCGCAUACCAUCGGAUGUGCCCAGAUGGGAUUAGCUAGUAGGUGGGGUAAAGGCUCACCUAGGUGACGAUCCCUAGCUGGUCUGAGAGGAUGACCAGCCACACUGGAACGGAGACACGGCCCAGACUCCUACGGGAGGCAGCAGUGGGGAAUAUUGCACAAUGGGCGCAAGCCUGAUGCAGCCAUGCCGCGUGUGUGAAGAAGGCCUUCGGGUUGUAAAGCACUUUCAGCGGGGAGGCGUUACUCGCAGAAGAAGCACCGGCUAACUCCGUGCCAGCAGCCGCGGUAAUAC